rnacentral:lncRNA from 10 species
AAAUCUUAUCAAUGCCUGAAAGAGACUUGUGAGAAGUUGGGCUAUCAAUGGAAGAAAAGUUGUAUGAAUCAGGUUACUAUAUCAACAACUGAUAGGAGAAACAAUAAACUCAUUUUCAAAGUGAAUUUGUUAGAAAUGGAUGAUAAAAUAUUGGUUGACUUCCGGCUUUCUAAGGGUGAUGGAUUGGAGUUCAAGAGACACUUCCUGAAGAUUAAAGGGAAGCUGAUUGAUAUUGUGAGCAGCCAGAAGAUUUGGCUUCCUGCCACAUGAUCGGACCAUCGGCUCUGGGGAAUCCUGGUUGAGGCCUUGGCUCCUGCCUGUAGUCCCAGCUACUUAGGAGGCUGAGAGAGGAGGAUCGCGUGAACCUGGAAGUUUGAGGCUGUAGUGAGCUAUGAUUGCACCAGUGCACUCCAGCUUGGAUGACAGAAUGGAGUUUCACUCUUGUCUCCCAGGCUGGAGUACAAUGGCAUGAUCUCAGCUUACUGCAACCUCCGUCUCCUGGGUUCAAGCGAUUCUCCUGCCUCAGCCUUCCAAGUAGCUGGGAUUACAGGUGCCCACCACCACACCUGGCUAGGUUUUGUAUUUUUAGUAGAGAUGGGGUUUUUUCAUGUUGGCCAGGCUGAUCUGGAACUCCUGACCUCAAGUGAUCCACCUGCCUUGGCCUCCCAAAGUGCUGGGAUUUUAGGUGUGAGCCACCUCGCCUGGCAAGGGAUUCUGUUCUUAGUCCUUGAAAAAAUAAAGUUCUGAAUCUUCAA